GCUGGGGACGCAGGCCCGGCUCCGUACGCGCACUGAGUCUGCCAUCCCCAUCACCGGGCCCGCGGGGCAGCGGCCGGACGCGGAGCCGGGAGGCGGCGGAGAGGGCCGACGGGCGGACCGAGAGCCGGGCCCUCUGGGCUGCAGCUCUGCAGCUCUGGCAGUGUACCUUUUGAGCUGAAGGCCACUGGCUGUUCUUCUUCCUGAGACCUCACUGCUCCUCGCUUCCCUGCCUUUGACUUGGCUCCUCGAUGGCACAGCCGGCAGACACCGCCCACCUGGCAGACAUUGCCCACUUCCCUGCCCCACGUGGGAGAAUAGCGCAUAGGAGGGAAGGAAGAAGAGCUCAGGCUCCACUCCUUGGCCUGGGAGUGCCGGGGGACACUGGAGGCUGGUCCAGGGGUCACAGUGCUGAUGGGUUCCCAUGGCUCCAAUCUCAUCGUCCACUCUUGACUUGCCUUGACCGGGUUCCAUUUGGGCUUUUCACUGAGUUGUGCUCUUCUGGGCAAGAGGUUUGCUUCCCCAAGCUUCAAUUCCAUGGGGAGUGGGCAUGGUUGGUGACCCCUGCCUGAUGGGGAUGCCGUGAGGACUCCAGGAGAGCAGUACCAAGUUCAGGGCAUAGACUGUGCACACAGGGACACUGAGUGUCCUUGUGCUGGCCUCCUCUGCUCCCUCCUCACCUUGCCUGCUCUCCCCCCACUCCCUCAUUCCCUCCCUAUCUCCUCCCCAGCCCUGACCAGGACCCAAUGUGCCAGGGGAUGCAAGUCAAGACGGUUUCCGUUGUGUGUUUGAGAAAGCCAAACUGCACUUAACCCAGUGGGGACAACUGUUGGGAGGUUCCUGCAUUGUAAACCCUGGGAGAGCAUGGGUGGAGCUGGCCCUGGGACCACAAGCUAGAGAAAUGGGCCAGAGCCUUGGAAGCUAUGGGCAAACUCUUCAUCACAUCCUGUUCUCCUCUGGGUCAGCUUCCUUCUCCCUGUGUCACCUUCUGCUCUUCCAUUGCCCAAGGGGGGCAGACCCUCUGUCCCAUAUCAAGUUUGAAAAUCCCCAGAGGAGGACUCUGAUGGGCUCCUUGGGCAGGGCCUCCCACUUCUGGGGUGGGCAGUCAGGCUCAUGUGAAGACAUGGCAGGAGAAAGGGCAGAAACAGUUGGGAAAGGCAGAAGGCUGGGGGCUUAUUCUCCGAUCAUAAGAAAGAGGGCAUGGGUGCUGUAUAACGGAAUGCUGAAUGCAGUGGCCCUCCGCCCCCCUUUUCCAGGCAGCCCCCAGAACACCAGCAACUGGACCCUUGCUGUCAGGCAAGAGACUGGAAAACUCUUCUCUGGAAGUUGGACCAGCCCUAAAACCUAAAGCAAAGAUCUGACCCCUGCGCUCCCCACCCCCUGCCACCGUAGACUCCCCUAGAUUACCUAGCAGAGAAUCUCAGCAUCAACAGGCUUCACUGUGUGUUCAGAACUUUCCUCCCACCUUGAAUCUGAUCAGACAGCCCAAGGUCAUGUGGCAAAAAAAAAAACAAAAACAAAAAACCCCCACAAAA